rnacentral:lncRNA from 1 species
GUUUUGUUGAUUUUUUUUUUCAUGAAUGCAUUAUAUUGUAAUGAGCACUACGUGCAGUAUACAAAGUAUUUAAAACAUUCUGAACAGAUCUGGAGCAUGAUUCUUCCAGAGAGCUUUGAGAAUCCCCUCCCUCCUCUUCCAAGUCCCCACCUCUCUCCUAAACAGAUUAUUGAGGAGUUAAAGGAGCUUGCAUCGGUCCCUGUGUCGUCUCCAUGAGGCUUAGAGUUACAGAGGAAACGGAUGGGAUAAGAAAACCUGGGGAUCUAAUUACAGAAGCUUAAUCAGCAAUCCAAGGCCCGUCCAGAACCCAGUCGCAAGCCUCAAGCCGCUACUCCUCACAGUUUCUCUUUCAGAGGUAUUCGUCUGAGAUUUGAUACAGCUACGUCUGUUUAACAUGGAGAACGAGGAAGAGGAAGAUGAAAUCUUUACCACAUUUCAGGGAGGAUAUGAAGGGCAGGAAAAUGUGGAGGAGCAGGAGGAAGAAGAGGAAGAGGAGCCAGAGGCUGAGAGGAAGAGCAGUUGGGAUGUCCCAAUUCCAAGUCGAUCACUGGCCAGUCGCAGAGCUUCACUUCCAUGUCCGGCUCAGCUGAAUGCGAUGCAUCUGAGCCGUCUGCAUGCUGCCACCACGAGCCUUAGCAUGGCUUACCCGAGCCACUGGCUUCAGAGCGGUGAGGCGAGGCCGUGCUCUCGCUCCAGCCAUGUUGCCAAUAGUGAGGAGGGAACGCACACCAAGAGCAGCGCAUGUGAAAGACGCCCAUAUGCCAUCCCAACCAUCCCUGAGGUGCAUGAGCCUCUGGAGAGAAAAGCUCGGUUUAGGAGCCGCAAUGUCAUGUCUCUGGUUGGUGUGAUAUGAUUUUGCUUUUAAAUUUGUAAAAAUGUGAAUGAUUACCAAUAGGUUAUGCAAUCACAAAACCAUUUAGAUAGGCAAAUAUAAGAUGAGAUCAUUUUAUUGUUAUGAUACAAUGCUAUGGCAAGGCUAGAGAAAUCUGAGGCUAUAGUGACGUGACGUGGCCAAGUAUGGUGACCCAUACUCGGAAUUAGUGCUCUGCAUUUAUCCCAUCCAAAGUGCACACACACAGCAGUGAACACACACACACCGUGAACACACACCCGGAGCAGUGGGCAGCCAUUUUUGCUGCGGCGC